CGCUCCACCAAAUUCGUUGGAGUUGCUUUCUUGGAAGAGGUGUGCCUGCAAGUUGUGAGGAUGGUGACUUAAAAUGCUAAAAAGAGUUUAAUCGAGAGAGAGAUCAUAACACCUUCUAAAUGGUUUUGCAAAUUUAAUUUCAGAAUCGACUGUUUCUCAGCUAAUGGUACCAAUCCCACAUUGUUGAGGUGAAAAAAGAACAAAGCUGAGGGCCA
rnacentral:lncRNA from 1 species